rnacentral:rRNA from 1 species
UGGGGAAUUUUGGACAAUGGCGAAAGCCUGAUCCAGCAAUGCCGCGUGUGUGAAGAAGGCCUUCGGGUUGUAAAGCACUUUUGUCCGGAAAGAAAUUCUUGGCUCUAAUACAGUCGGGGGAUGACGGUACCGGAAGAAUAAGCACCGGCUAACUACGUGCCAGCAGCCGCGGUAAUACGUAGGGUGCAAGCGUUAAUCGGAAUUACUGGGCGUAAAGCGUGCGCAGGCGGUUUGCUAAGACCGAUGUGAAAUCCCCGGGCUCAACCUGGGAACUGCAUUGGUGACUGGCAGGCUAGAGUAUGGCAGAGGGGGGUAGAAUUCCACGUGUAGCAGUGAAAUGCGUAGAGAUGUGGAGGAAUACCGAUGGCGAAGGCAGCCCCCUGGGCCAAUACUGACGCUCAUGCACGAAAGCGUGGGGGAGCAAACAGGAUUAGAUACCCUGGUAGUCCACGCCCUAAAACGAUGUCAACUAGUUGUUGGGGAUUCAUUUCCUUAGUAACGUAGCUAACGCGUGAAGUUGACCGCCUGGGGAGUACGGUCGCAAGAUUAAAACUCAAAUGAAUUGAC